AACGAACGCUGGCGGCAUGCCUAACACAUGCAAGUCGAACGAGACCUUCGGGUCUAGUGGCGCACGGGUGCGUAACGCGUGGGAACCUGCCCUUAGGUUCGGAAUAACUCCCCGAAAGGGGUGCUAAUACCGGAUAAUGUCUUCGGACCAAAGAUUCAUCGCCUUUGGAUGGGCCCGCGUUGGAUUAGCUAGUUGGUAGGGUAAAAGCCUACCAAGGCGUCGAUCCAUAGCUGGUCUGAGAGGAUGAUCAGCCACACUGGGACUGAGACACGGCCCAGACUCCUACGGGAGGCAGCAGUGGGGAAUAUUGGACAAUGGGCGAAAGCCUGAUCCAGCAAUGCCGCGUGAGUGAUGAAGGCCUUAGGGUUGUAAAGCUCUUUUACCCGGGAUGAUAAUGACAGUACCGGGAGAAUAAGCUCCGGCUAACUCCGUG
rnacentral:rRNA from 1 species